rnacentral:rRNA from 1 species
GACGAACGCUGGCGGCGUGCUUAACACAUGCAAGUCGAACGGAAAGGCCCUGCUUUUGUGGGGUGCUCGAGUGGCGAACGGGUGAGUAACACGUGAGUAACCUGCCCUUGACUUUGGGAUAACUUCAGGAAACUGGGGCUAAUACCGGAUAGGAGCUCCCGCUGCAUGGUGGGGGUUGGAAAGUUUCGGCGGUCGGGGAUGGACUCGCGGCUUAUCAGCUUGUUGGUGGGGUAGUGGCUUACCAAGGCUUUGACGGGUAGCCGGCAUGAGAGGGUGACCGGCCACAAUGGGACUGAGAUACGGCCCAGACUCCUACGGGAGGCAGCAGUGGGGAAUAUUGCACAAUGGGCGGAAGCCUGAUGCAGCAACGCCGCGUGCGGGAUGACGGCCUUCGGGUUGUAAACCGCUUUCGCCUGUGACGAAGCGUGAGUGACGGUAAUGGGUAAAGAAGCACCGGCUAACUACGUG